CGUGGGGCUAAUGGGGAUAUUGGGGUCAGUGGGGACGGGGGUGUGGGUGGGGGGCCCCACUCUCUGCUCACCCUAAACUUUUAUGGGUCCAGGAGCUCCCCGACGUCCCCCUUUAUUACACGUUGGAUGGACUCAGCAGCACCCUGCGCUGCAACACGCCGUCCCUGCUGCAGCUCAGGUCCGCCCUGCUGCAUUCGGGGCACCGCGUCUCCCUGUCCCACGCCUGUAGGAACGCCGUGAAGACGGACGCCCCCCCAUCGGUGCUAUGGGACAUCAUGCGCUGCUGGGUACAGCAGCACCCCGUAAAACCCGAACGCCUCACAGACGGCAGCGCGGCCGCACGGAUCCUGGCCACAGAACCCACGGUGAAGGCUUUUGAGGUCCGCCCCGACGCCAACCCCAAUUCCAGGAGGCGCGGCCUGAAGCGCUUCCCCGAAAACCCCGAAGCGUUUUGGGGUCCCAAAGCACGGGCCAAAGUGGGGUGAGGGGGGGGGA